ACUCUCCGGUUUCAAAGAAAAAAAAAAUAAAAGUGUUGUCACAAUUAACUAUUGUAACCAUUAGUGUAUUAAAUCAAUCCUUUUCCAUAAUUAACGAGACUUAUGAGCACUAUAAAUCCAACACUAUCAACCCUUUCAAAGUCCAUCAUCCUUGUUCGACACCCUCACACCUCCAUAUUCGUUUCGAAUAUUUUUGUAACCUUGCCGGAGACCCGCAACUCACCGGAGUGCAAGCUUUCGCCGGAAAUCGGAGUGGCCGUAACACGAAGUUCACCGGAGAACCAGUCGCGGCCGGAGGGGAAAUCGGAAACCCGCGAGUGUUCUUCCGUUUCGGUUAAUCGCUCUUGCUCGUUCUCUUGGAUUUUUCCCAAUCUUUACUAGUGCGUUAUUACAAGAAAUCGCAACGCUACGAAUGUUGGUAGACGAAGUGAUAAAGAAAACAAGCUAGGAUGAACCUAGAUACCCAUCUUAGAAUAAGCAAUGUUUGAAUUAUUUUAUUGCAAUUUGUCUUAUUUGGAAACAAUGUACGGAAUUUAGUCAUUUAUGAAAUUUGAUUUAAUCUA